CCGGCCGCAGCGCCUGGAGCCUCGCGCCGGGGCCCAGCUGGGCCGCACGCGGAAGGACAAAUAGUCCCGUCGGCUGCUCCGCGCGCCCCUCCGAGACCGCGCUCGCCCCGCCCGAGUGGCCUGGCCUCGGCCUCGGGCGGCGGGAAGUGGGCGGCCGCUCGACCCCCGCUCCUCCCUCUGGGGCAAGGCGGGUGUACGAAGCUCCUCAGGGAAAAGUAAUUGGAUUCCGGGCUCCGCGCUGCCGGGAACGUCGGAAAGCCGCAGCUAAGGCUGCAGCGCGUGGGCGGAGGAGGGCGCGGCGGGGGAGGGAAGGGUGCAGACGCCGCUGGGCUCUCCCGCGCCCGGCGACCUGGCCAGGACAGGCCGCAGCGGAAAGCCGGCGGCCACCGGGAAGGGCUAGCUCGCUUGCCCCAGGGGCCCGGAGUGCGACAUCCUCACUCCUUCCCAGGCGCCAUCUAGUCUGUGAGCACACCUGGCUGAUGACACGCGCCCAAAGAGACGUUUGGGAAAGCUAAAGUCUGUCAGCAUCCCUCAGGGUUUCUCUCAAAGCUCUGAUGUGCAGCUGAGGUGGAAAAAGAACCUUUCAUCCAGUGUGCAAGUGGAGACUCCUCUUCACGAAUGUUACAGGGAACACAGUAGGAAACACCUCAAGUCUUUGCUUUAGUGACAGACUCCCAAAUUCCCUUUUCCCUGAGAAGGUUUAUCACAAGUGGGAGCCAUAAGGAGGGUUUAUAGCUUUCUUUCUCCCCUGCUGAAAUGGUAGGAAUGUUCCAGAACUUGUAAAUGACUAACUCUGCAGCUCUUUUGUGGUAUAUGGGUUUUUUUUUUUUUCCUUUUGCCUUUUUAGUUCCCUUUACUACAUCUCACACACUAAUUCACUAGGCUUUUAUAGAGGAAUUUCUCAUGUACCAGACUCUGUUCUGCUUAUCAGGGACAUAACAGUGAAUAAGCCCAGACUCUGAGCUCUUGGACUUCCUUACAGGUGAUGGGAUACACAGUUCAGUGCCGUGUGAUGAGGUCAGAAGAGAGUGUGGAUCCCCUCGAACUCGAGUCACAGAUAGUUGGAUCACUAUAUGGGUUCUGGAAGCUGAACCCAGGCCCCCUGUGAGAGCAACAAGAACACCCCACCCAACCCCCGCAUUUAAGUGAAACUUUAGAUGAAUAUCCAGCAGUUGUAGAUUGUCACCAGCCUUGAAACACCAGGAUGCUUCUUCCUAACUCAGUCAUAGUGGCCUAAAGAAUGACAUGCUUAGUGUUAAGCUAAGAUUUCCUUUCCUCAGUGUGAUGGGACCAGCCAUGUUACCUCUGCCACAGUGGACUGUAUUUCUCUGGAAAGCCCUGAGAUUAAAAGCAUACACCACCACCACCCAACGUGACAGUAGACUCUUUAAAAGUGAGGAAUUUGUGUCUGCUGCACUUAACUCCUCAAACAUCUUCAUUCCUCAUUAUGAGCAACUCCAAACAGAAGCAGUCCUAUUGUGUGCUGACGGUAUAGAACCGCAUUUCAGGAGAGAACUUGUUUAUCCUUUUCAACAAGUUUGUUAAACAUGUUUAAUUUUAUUAGCAUUUUAGGAUUUUAACAUUCAUGAAUUCAUCCACCAGAAAAUGUCUUGUGAGCCGGUGUAGUUAAAAAGCUAUCAUUGCCAUACUGAUAUGAAACUCCCCGAGAAUAUUUCACCUGGCAAUCCAUCAGGAAGCAUCAGCUCAGCACUUGUCAAGGACUGACAAACUUGAUAAAUGUUUGAUGAUCUUAAAAAUGAUUGAAUGAAUAAAUUAAAAUAUUUGAAGCCAAAAGAAUGUAAAGAGAAAACUAGUUGCAUUUUCCUUGUUAGAGCUUGAGGCUGUAGAGCUCUACAGUACCUGUCCUGUCUGCUGAGGUCUGACUCUGGCAUCUUAGUUAUUAAUUGAGGUUCUAUCUCUUAUAGGAAAUGGAAUUGCAGUAACUCUUUGGUAGUAUCAUGCUACAUAAUUAAUUGUUAUGCUAAUAAUCCACCUUGAAAUGCAUUUUAGUUAAGGGUUUAUUAUGUCAUGUAUAUGUAUAUGUAUAUGUAUAUGUAUAUGUAUAUGUAUAAGUGCCUCAUUAUAUAAUCUGGUAUUAUUAUGAAGUGCCAAUCCAAACUUUUUUUUAACAGAUUUAUGUCAUAGUUAAGCCAAAAUGCAUAUCUUGUUUCCUGGCAAUCCUGUAUAUGUGGAAUCCUGCUUUCAUGUGCAUCAUCAUUCAUUUAUUCAUUCAACAAACAUUGCAAUGUAGGUACCAUGUACCACACAGAGCCUAAGCCCUUAUGGUGCUUAUGCCUAAAGCAAUAUUUCAGAGUUAAACGAAUUAAUUGUCUAAAGAUCUGUAAAAAUAAAGAUUCUGAUUCGUAAAAUCUG